rfam:Ictidomys tridecemlineatus contig048946, whole genome shotgun sequence.
UGGGUUGUGGCUCAGUGGUAUAGUGCUUGCCUCCCAUGUGUGAGGCACUGAGUAUAAUUCUCAGCACCCCAU